rnacentral:rRNA from 1 species
AGUGAACGCUGGCGGUAGGCCUAACACAUGCAAGUCGAACGGCAGCACAGUAAGAGUUUGCUCUUACGGGUGGCGAGUGGGGGGGGGGUGGGAUAUAUAUCGAUCUCUACUUUUUCGUGGGGGAUCGCGGGGGGAAACACACGCUUACAGCACACACCCUCCGCGGGAAAAAGCGGGGGCGCUUGGCCUCUCGCGAGUGUGUGUGCCGCGAUGUCGGAUUAGAUAGUUCGCGGGGUAAGGGCCCACCAAGGCGACGCUCCGUAGCUGGUCUGAGAGGAUGAUCAGCCACACUGGAACUGAGACACGGUCCAGACUCCUACGGGAGGCAGCAGUGGGGAAUAUUGGACAAUGGGCGCAAGCCUGAUCCAGCCAUACCGCGUGGGUGAAGAAGGCCUUCGGGUUGUAAAGCCCUUUUGUUGGGAAAGAAAAGCUGCAGGUUAAUACCCCGCUAGGCUGACGGUACCCAAAGAAUAAGCACCGGCUAACUUCGUG